rnacentral:rRNA from 1 species
ACGCUCGACACCUAGGAGGCAGCAGUGAGGGAUAUUGGUCAAUGGGGGAAACCCUGAACCAGCAACGCCGCGUGAGGGAUGACGGUCUUCGGAUUGUAAACCCCUGUCUCUGUGAGANAUGNGAGCGAGAGGAGGGAAGGACUCCGGCCGUAACUAACGUGUCACGCAGCCGCCGGUAAUCUGAGCGGGCGUGGCGAAGGACG